rnacentral:rRNA from 1 species
GUAGUCUUAGCCAUAAACGAUGAUCACUAGGUGUUGGGGCUUUGCCUCGGUGCCGCAGCUAACGCAUUAAGUGAUCCGCCUGGGAACUACGGUCGCAAGACUAAAACUCAAAGGAAUUGGCGGGGGCCCGCACAAGCGGUGGAGCAUGUGGCUUAAUUCGAUGCAACGCGAAGAACCUUACCAGGGCUUGACAUGUAUCUGCAAGCUUCCGAAAAGAAGUCGCCUUCGAGGGUGAUACACAGGUGGUGCAUGGCUGUCGUCAGCUCGUGUUGUGAAAUGUUGGGUUAAGUCCCGCAACGAGCGCAACCCUCAUGUUCUGUUGCCAGCGGGUAAUGCCGGGAACUCGGAACAAACUGCCUCUGUAAAGAGGA